rnacentral:sRNA from 1 species
GGUGCAGCUGGUGAAUAACUCCUUCAAAGGCAUCAAGUACUUGCGGCUCAACACACUGGCCUCCCUGGGCUACGCCGUGGUUGUGAUUGACGGCAGGGGCUCCUGUCAGCGAGGGCUUCGGUUCGAAGGGGCCCUGAAAAACCAAAUGGGCCAGGUGGAGAUCGAGGACCAGGUGGAGGGCCUGCAGUUCGUGGCCGAGAAGUAUGGCUUCAUCGACCUGAGCCGAGUUGCCAUCCAUGGCUGGUCCUACGGGGGCUUCCUCUCGCUCAUGGGGCUAAUCCACAAGCCCCAGGUGUUCAAGCAGCCCCACGGGGCCGAGCCCCCCUCCUCAUUGCCCGCCACCGCCGACCGCAGGAUGGCAUCCGGCUGCACAAAACCCCGCCAGCAGCUCUCUGUGGGAGGCUGAGCCCGGGACCCCGGCCUCGGAUGGGCAGAGGUGGGGCAUGGUGUGCAGAGCGGCGGGGGGGCCCCAGGCCGGCGGCAGUCAGGGCACUGCGGGGCGGCGGCGAUGAGGAGGAGGAGGAGGCAGACGGGCAGUGGGACCCGGCCCUCUGCGGCGGCGGGGAGGGGCCGCACCUGCCUGCCUGUGGCGCCCUGCCCACCCCCAUGCCACGCACCGUCCACGGGGGCCACGCGGUCUGAGGGCCCCUUCCUUGCCGGCCCCAUGUGCAUGAGCGCUCCU